rnacentral:lncRNA from 1 species
GGCAGGGCUACAGACGUAACAUUUUUACCAGGAUGAACUGCUGUUGAACAAUUUCUCCAAUGCAUUAGUCAUGCUUCAACUUUAGACAUGCAGGUUUUUAAACGCUCUUUAAUGCACGCGGCUUCCUGAUGUGGUGGAGGAAAGGAGAGUAUUAUCAUUUCUGAAUGCCAGAGUUAUUGGCGCACUCAUAAUAUAAAAGCCAUCAAGUGUCACCGAUAUCAAGGGAUUCUCUUUCCUAAAGCAGGUGGACCUAUCUUUUGGGAGUUCCUUUGAAUUGCCAGAAUUGAGAAAUCACAGAAUUGCCUGUAGAAACCGAAAUGGAAAACAGUGACGGAGUCAGCAUAGUGCUUUGAACAGGAAUUUGCUCAGGCAAACUCAGGAACGAGUGAACGGGCACCACGGCCUCCCUGGGCAGGUGACAGCUGACAGGGCCCGAGGUACACACCUGCCCCAAGCUGGGCUCAGUAGAUCUGCUCCCCUGAGAAUCUCAAAUUG